AUAACUUCGCAAGGGUUUUCAUACGACGCGAAAAAAUCCUGGACUGUAUAUCCUGUAUAUAUAACAUUGCACGACGUAUGUACAUCAAGAUCGACUGUCCGAUGUAGUGUAUGAGAAUUCGCUUCACAUUUUUAUAGUAACGAUUUCAGAAGCAACAGAGAACAAGAUUAACAAAGGCAAAGUAGCAUCGCACGCCCGCUCUCGCGUCUACGGUGUCCGGAGCACGGAUGGAUAUUGGACUAUGAACCAUCAAGAAGAACCACUUUCUCAACGCCGGAUUGAAAAUGUCACAUGAUGCAGCCGGGAGUAGCCACUUCCGAUGAAACUGCGUUGAAUUGUUUAACUCGACCUUAUGCUUUGCCGAAUGUUAAAGCUAUUUAAUCAAUCGAAGGCGGUAUACCAAGUUUUCCGUUUGCUGCAUUGUCCAUCAUCCAUCCGCAAAUAAGUGUAGCAUUAUCCGCACGUGAUGUAGCCGGUAAGACACUUUUUAAGAAACCGAAUGUCGAUUUACAGUUGUCACAAUUAAGUGCGAUAUCCAAAACAAGUUUAAAAAGAUGGAAUUCUAUAAUAAGUUUACAGUUCCCGGUUUCCAAUCCCUUACAUCAUUUUACUUGGGCUCUUCAGGAUGUUCUUGAAAAUCUAUACAGGAGAGACGUUGACAUGACAAAUAGAAUAACUUCUAAAUCGAUCUCCGGAUGGGAGUCAAACCGGAAAUGCAUCGACCAAAAAAUUAAAUACCAAGAAGACGGUUUCAGUUCUCGCGACAAUAAUAAAAUUUAUGUUGAAUUUAUUUUCGUACUUUGGCAUUCGUGCAAUUAUUUAUGUUUUGUUUAGAAAAUAAUAUCGA